rnacentral:rRNA from 1 species
ACGAACGCUGGCGGCGUGGAUAAGACAUGCAAGUCGAACGAGAGAAUUGCUAGCUUGCUAAUAAUUCUCUAGUGGCGCACGGGUGAGUAACACGUGAGUAACCUGCCCCCGAGAGCGGGAUAGCCCUGGGAAACUGGGAUUAAUACCGCAUAGAAUCGCAAGAUUAGAGCAGCAAUGCGCUUGGGGAUGGGCUCGCGGCCUAUUAGUUAGUUGGUGAGGUAACGGCUCACCAAGGCGAUGACGGGUAGCCGGUCUGAGAGGAUGUCCGGCCACACUGGAACUGAGACACGGUCCAGACACCUACGGGUGGCAGCAGUCGAGAAUCAUUCACAAUGGGGGAAACCCUGAUGGUGCGACGCCGCGUGGGGGAAUGAAGGUCUUCGGAUUGUAAACCCCUGUCAUGUGGGAGCAAAUUAAAAAGAUAGUACCACAAGAGGAAGAGACGGCUAACUCUGUGCCAGCAGCCGCGGUAAUACAGAGGUCUCAAGCGUUGUUCGGAAUCACUGGGCGUAAAGCGUGCGUAGGCUGUUUCGUAAGUCGUGUGUGAAAGGCGCGGGCUCAACCCGCGGACGGCACAUGAUACUGCGAGACUAGAGUAAUGGAGGGGGAACCGGAAUUCUCGGUGUAGCAGUGAAAUGCGUAGAUAUCGAGAGGAACACUCGUGGCGAAGGCGGGUUCCUGGACAUUAACUGACGCUGAGGCACGAAGGCCAGGGGAGCGAAAGGGAUUAGAUACCCCUGUAGUCCUGGCAGUAAACGGUGCACGCUUGGUGUGCGGGGAAUCGACCCCCUGCGUGCCGGAGCUAACGCGUUAAGCGUGCCGCCUGGGGAGUACGGUCGCAAGAUUAAAACUCAAAGAAAUUGACGGGGACCCGCACAAGCGGUGGAGUAUGUGGCUUAAUUCGAUGCAACGCGAAGAACCUUACCUGGGCUUGACAUGUAAUGAACAACAUGUGAAAGCAUGCGACUCUUCGGAGGCGUUACACAGGUGCUGCAUGGCCGUCGUCAGCUCGUGUCGUGAGAUGUUUGGUUAAGUCCAGCAACGAGCGCAACCCCUGUUGCCAGUUACCAGCACGUGAAGGUGGGGACUCUGGCGAGACUGCCCAGAUCAACUGGGAGGAAGGUGGGGACGACGUCAGGUCAGUAUGGCCCUUAUGCCCAGGGCUGCACACGUACUACAAUGCCCAGUACAGAGGGGGCCGAAGCCGCGAGGCGGAGGAAAUCCUGAAAACUGGGCCCAGUUCGGACUGUAGGCUGCAACCCGCCUACACGAAGCCGGAAUCGCUAGUAAUGGCGCAUCAGCUACGGCGCCGUGAAUACGUUCCCGGGUCUUGUACACACCGCCCGUCACAUCAUGGAAGCCGGUCGCACCCGAAGUAUCUGAAGCCAACCGCAAGGAGGCAGGGUCCUAAGGUGAGACUGGUAACUGGGAUG